rnacentral:rRNA from 1 species
UUUCGACCCUGUCGAUGCGCGUCAAAUGUAUCCAAACUCUACUCGUUCGGGCCGGGUACCCACGGGAUCCCAUGUUGACAUGAAAGAAUAAAAGCACACACUACUGGUAUUAGAAUUUUCCAAUUUCCAUCUCUACGCUCUGUUUUCCUUUCUUUUUUUCUUUUUGCCCUAGACGCGUAAGAAACUUGCAGCCAGAUAUAAGUCGGGGAGGGGCCGGAGGGAGGCGAAAGAAGAAGCCAAGCAAACCAAGCGGAGAGCAGAGCAGACGGCCGGCCGGACGGGGGGACGAACCAAUCCAACCAGCCAAGCUCGUCAGCACGCGGCGCAGCAGCCCAGCUACCCUUGCCGCAAGAUAAACCAUGGGUGGGGUACUUGGUUUGAUACAGAUUGAUCAAUCAACUGUAGCCAUCAAGGAGACUUUUGGGAAGUUUGAUGCGAUCCUGCAACCUGGAUGCCACUGCUUGCCAUGGUGCCUAGGGCAGCAGAUUGCUGGGUAUCUUUCUCUGCGUGUGCAGCAGCUUGACGUCCGAUGCGAAACCAAGACCAAGGACAAUGUCUUUGUCAACGUUGUGGCAUCUGUGCAGUACCGUGCUCUUGCUGACAAGGCAUCUGAUGCCUUUUACAGGCUUAGCAACACCAGGGAGCAAAUCCAGUCCUAUGUCUUUGACGUGAUCAGGGCUAGCGUUCCAAAGAUGAACUUGGAUGAUGUAUUUGAGCAGAAGAAUGAAAUAGCAAGGGCUGUGGAGGAUGAACUUGAAAAGGCAAUGUCUGCCUACGGGUACGAGAUUGUGCAAACUCUGAUUGUUGAUAUUGAGCCAGAUGAACAUGUGAAGAGAGCCAUGAAUGAGAUCAAUGCAGCUGCUAGGAUGAGGUUGGCAGCCACUGAGAAAGCGGAAGCGGAGAAGAUACUCCAGAUCAAGAGGGCUGAAGGUGAGGCAGAAUCGAAGUACUUGGCUGGUGUGGGUAUUGCAAGGCAGCGCCAGGCCAUAGUGGACGGGCUGAGAGACAGUGUUCUCGCCUUCUCUGAGAAUGUGCCUGGGACCUCUUCGAAGGAUGUCAUGGAUAUGGUUUUGGUGACGCAGUACUUCGAUACCAUGAAGGACAUUGGGGCCUCUUCCAAGUCUUCAGCAGUGUUCAUCCCUCACGGGCCUGGCGCUGUCAAAGACAUCGCUUCGCAGAUACGAGAUGGUCAGCUCCAGGGCAGGAUGGUUUGAGGAGUGUUGGAAAAUGGAUGCCACUUUUAUACGCAUACUUUUAAGUACAUACAGCUUAUUCUUAUACUAUGUGUGAGGUGAGGUUGUGCCUAGAUGGAUGUUAAUAUCAGUACUUGCUUGGAUUGUGCCACUCGUUUCUGUAAAAAAUAUAAGUUGUGCUAUCACUGCGUUCACCACUAUUUGUGAAUUGAGUGUGUUAUAUGGUUAUUAUACUAUAAUUUCUAUGUUGCUACUAGUAUUUUCAUUCAAAUCUUGGAAACCUUGGAAUUUUGGAGAUUGUUCUGAAGCUCCUCCCACUGAGGCCCCCAGUUUCUCGUUCUUACUACUUAUGAUAUGUUCUUUGGUAUUUAGAUUUUGUGUGCGUUCAUCGUAUUGUCAUGUGAAGCGCAGUUCAUUGUAUUGUCAUGUGAGCAGCAAUGGCCAGCAGAGUUUCACACUCUGCUCCUCACUUAAUGAAAAAACAAAUGCAAACUUCGAUACAUCAAUACCAAAGAUCUUUAAGAGGUACAUUCAUGCCACAGUUUACCACGGAUUCGAUACAAGGUGGACACUUGUGUGCACCAAAUCUAGAUGA